GUCCACGCCGUAAACUAUGGUCACUUGGUGUUGGUGGUAUUUACCCCAUCAGUGCCGAAGUUAACACGAUAAGUGACCCGCCUGGGGAGUACGGUCGCAAGAUUAAAACUCAAAGAAAUUGACGGGGGCCCGCACAAGCGGUGGAGCAUGUGGUUUAAUUCGAUGCAACGCGAAAAACCUUACCUGGGCUAGAAUGCUUUUUGACAACCCUAGAGAUAGGGCUUUCCUUCGGGACAGAUUGCAAGGUGCUGCAUGGCUGUCGU
rnacentral:rRNA from 1 species